AAGGCCUCCCAUGCCUCAUCACCUCAGUACUGUACUGUCUUGAGUUUAAUUCAGAUCACCUCACGUGAUCCCCAAGCAGAGGUUUAGGCCACAUGAAUGUGAGAGAUAAAGGUUAAUGAAGAUAAAAAUGUAUCAGCAGUCUUGUUUUUAUUUUGACACCCCACAGAUUGUAUCUUAAGCAGAGGCAGCUUACACAGCGUGCUCAAGAUAUUGUUGAAUUCUAUCAGCCCCAGUCAGCAUGGGCAACAGUGAACAAAGUGUGAAGCCACAUGGGACAAAGAGAGAACACGUGAUGGCAAAGAGGGAAAACAGGAAAGAAAGAACCGGAACCCAUUUUGAUUUACAACAGAAUGUGGAGUUU